rnacentral:rRNA from 1 species
UACGGGGGGGGCAAGCGUUGUUCGGAAUUACUGGGCGUAAAGGGCUCGUAGGCGGCCAACUAAGUCAGACGUGAAAUCCCUCGGCUUAACCGGGGAACUGCGUCUGAUACUGGAUGGCUUGAGUUUGGGAGAGGGAUGCGGAAUUCCAGGUGUAGCGGUGAAAUGCGUAGAUAUCGGGAGGAACACCGGUGGCGAAGGCGGCUCUCUAGUACGGUACUGACGCUGAGACGCGAAAGCGUGGGGAGCGAACAGG